rnacentral:rRNA from 1 species
GUGCCAGCAGCCGCGGUAAUACGUAGGCAGCAAGCGUUGUUCGGAGUUACUGGGCGUAAAGAGUGUGUAGGCGGUGUCGUAAGUUCGGUGUGAAAUCUCCCGGCUUAACUGGGAGGGUGCGCCGGAAACUGCGAGACUUGAGUACGGGAGAGGGAAGCGGAAUUCCUGGUGUAGCGGUGAAAUGCGUAGAUAUCAGGAGGAACACCUGCGGUGUAGACGGCUUCCUGGACCGUUACUGACGCUGAGACACGAAAGCGUGGGGAGCAAACAGGAUUAGAUACCCUGGUAGUCCACGCCCUAAACGAUGCAUACUUGGUGUGAGCCAUUCAGUUGGUUCGUGCCGGAGCUAACGCGUUAAGUAUGCCGCCUGGGGAGUACGGUCGCAAGGCUGAA